GAGGCCCUUCAGGCUGCUGAUAAAUGUGCGCUGUCUUGGGCAGAGUUUGGAAGCAACUUGGUGGUAGCUUUGAGCCGUCAGCCCCUGGAUUUCUGCAGCUGUGAUUCUCAGGUGCAGUUCUGGCUCUCUUGUCUCAGCUUCCUGGUGCUGGAGCCUUCAGAAUGCUGAUUCUUCUCUCCUUCUUUAUUUUUGUUUCCUCUGCUCGAGUCAUUUAAAAUGAUUACCAGCCAUGAGCCCUGUGUUGCACUAAAAUCUUACUCCCCAAGUUAUUUUUUUCUUAUUUCCACUGUAUCCUUUCCCAGUGUCUUUUUUUGACUUGAAGCAAGGAAGAAAAAGAAUAAACAGGUCUGGCUUUGAUGAUCUUGUUGAUUUUGCUGUGGAAGAAACCUGCAAAAAUGCUUUUCAAAACAUUUGAAAUGGGAGCCAUCUGGGAGGUGUUUAAAUGCAGUGGAAAAAUAAGAGAUUCACGAGGAAUGGAUUUUCAGGGACCUUGAAGAGGGAAAAUAAAAAGUCCAAGCAGUUUAAAAUGCAGCUUGUUUGCCAGAGGGAUUCUUCUGGCCCUGGUAUGUCUACAGGUGAGUUCUUGCCUGGAUUCUGUGCAGAAUGGUUUAGGGCGCAGAGCUGGAUAGGAGGGUGGUGCCCCAGUACUUAGUAGCUGGGGACUUUAGGCAAAUCUCUGUGCUUUGCCUGUGACGGUCUGUUUUCCCUCUGUAACCCAGAGCUUGUGAUGAUAAUUCACUCGUUGCUUUUGUGCAGAGUAAGUGGCGUAUCCACAGCUCUUUGUCCAGUGCUUGGAACAUCAUAAACUAAAUUUGGGUAAAUGAUAUUGUUUUGUAAGUUUUUGUCCUUCUUCUACUGACAUUCAGAAAGUCCCUGUGCUAAGCAGUGGUUUUCCAACCUUUCUACCCGGUCACAGCUCAGUUCCUAAGACAGCACCCAGCAUGGACCCAGCUCUCUCCCACUUCCCCCAGCAGGGGAAGGCGCUGGGACGAGACGCUUGGCCACUCUGGGGCCGGGAUUGCUCGUUGGCACAGUGGAGAUGACUGUUUCUUUCUCGUCAUGGCUUCCUCAAGAUUAAAGAAUAGCUGUGUGAGAACAGCGUGGCUGCCCAGGUGCUGGGCCGGCCAGCGUUGCAGGUCCGGAGCAAGCGGCCCGGCUCCCUGAGCAUCCGGCCCACGGUCCUGCCUCACGACGUUCUAGAAGGGCUGCUGGUGUCCCCUGCUGUCCUGCGGGCUGCAAAGGGAAGUUGGCACCGUGGCUCCCACAUCGGGAGUCUCCGUCUGUCUCUCUCGGCCCUGGCACAAGGCCUGAUGCCCAUAACUUCAGGAGGAGAGAAAGUUGAUUUUGGUUUACAUUUCAGGUCCAAAGAAGAAACAACGCAGCAGAGGGCCUGGCCGAAGGAAAGCCGGCCGGUCGUGUAGUGGUGGGCGGGAAGCGGAGGACAGGAGGGAGCAGGGGAGUAGGUAACCCUGAGAGAACACCACGCCCAACAGCAGCGAGGGUCCCUUCACUCCCGAGGGACCCUUUAAGUAGCGCUUGUUCUCAGCCCUCUGCCAGGUUUGUUUCCCUCCUCCCCACUCAGUUCUCUUCAGCUUCCCCUUCGGUUUCCUUGGGUUGCAUUGUCGGAAUUUGGGGGCGUUGGGAUAGGACCUCGGACCCCAGCCUCUAGUCUUGGGGACCCUCCAGCAGCAGGAACUGGCAGUCCUGGUGCUGCCCCUCCUCCUCUGGCUCAGCCUCCACUUCUCAGCAUCGUGAGCUGAGCGCAGCUGAUCCCACUGUUUGAGGCAGACCCUGGGCCCAGACCACCUGUCUCUCUUCCCUCACUUCCCACCCCCUGGUGACUCGACCUCGGACACCAUGGGAGCAGCGCCAGCCAGCGGCUCGGCUGUCACCUGCUGGAGGUGGCAACUUUGCAGGUUUGUAGGGUUUCCUGGAGGUGGAGCCCUAACUCCCCUGGAAAUCGCAGGUUAGUAGACUUCUGUGAAGAGUGAAGGAUCUUAGGCUUUGCUGGCUGUGGCUGCCUGUUCUCUACUACAACUAUUAGACUCUAUGAGUGUAAUGUGAAGGAAGCCAUGGCAAAUGUGUAAGUGAUGCACCCGAUGGGUUUUAAUAGAGCCCUGGCAGCCCAGCACAAUCCAUAAUCCCACCACUCUGGGAGGCGGAGGCAGCAGGAUUGUGACUUGGAGCCCAGCCUGGGAAAAAAACAAGGGCUAGGAAUUAGCACACUGAGAGGGAUCUGGGCGCAGUACCCAGACACACACACACACACACACACACACACACACACACACACACACACAGAGAACUUUACAGAAACAAGUUUGGCCCAGAUGGGCUGAGAUUGCAGAACCUGAAUUACAAGAAAUCAAAGCCCAAUUUGGGGAAUUUGUCAAUUUCACUUUCUUUAAUUUCAAUUUAUUUUAAUUCAGUGAAAACUUCUUCAGAGGAGCAACGAGCCAAACUCUUACCGAGUACCGCCAGGAAGCAUUAAUUGUUCUUAGCAAGCCUGUGAGGCCACUGUUUACUGUUUUUCAGUGAUAUGAGGGAGUUGUUUCCUGAUAAAUGGUGGCAAGGAGACUCAAAACCAGGCUGUCUUGGACCUGCAGACCCGUAUUAAGUAUUUAAGUUCUGCACUGCUGGCUGCAUAGAGUACGGAGAACUGGCCACAGAAUACAUGGCCCGGAAGACAGGGCUCCAUUUGAGUUGGAACCCAAAGAAAAUGUCAGCAAAAUAAAAAAGUCUCUGAUAUCUGAAGAGAAGUAUGAAAUAUAGGAGCAUAAGGAAGCUUCCUGCCAGCAAGUAGAAAGCAAGCAAUCCCAGACAGGGCAAUAAUGACCUUGGGUCUUGAAGAACAAAUAGGAUUUUGAGAGGUAGAGGAAGUACGGAAGCGCGAGAAGCCAUAGCUGGUCGAGGUGGCACAGGCCAUCAAAGAGAAGCUGGGUCUCCAGCGAAGUCUGGCCAAAGCUUUGCUCCACCUGUCCCUCUGGCCUGCUCUGGGUCUACCUCAGGCCUGAGACUGCCAUCCCCUGCAUGAAGUUAUUCUCAUCUGGCCUGCUCUUGCAAGCUGUUUCCUUGGGUUCUGAGAAUAGGGAAAUAAUACUCUGGUCACUAAGAGCAGAAGGGCAGAGCAGGAGCGGCUGAGUCAUACGCUGAGUAGAUACUGCGAGGAGGGAAUGCAGAAGAGAGUUGUAGCAGGGCCGGAGCCCGAGGGCCUCAGGUUAUGGCGUCAGGAAGGACUGGACAGUCCAAGGAUCACUUGUACUGGACACUGGAAGUUUUGGGCCUGACUUAAGGACCAACAGUGUUGCCCAGAGUAGCCUAAGUCUGUCAGAACUGUGACAGAACUGAAUUCACUGGCCAGUUGCCUUUUCCAAAACUUAUGAUAAUUGCAAUUUAAAUAAUUAUCUGGGCAAUCGUCUUCACAUAUUUUAUCUCCCCUAGGUUACCAGGGCAAGAACCUAGUUGUCUAUUUCCACAUUAUCCUUGUAUUCAGUGCUUUGCCUUCUAGGGUAGUCUGAGAUCCUUCAGUGUUUGUGGAUUGACUGCUUGCUUGGAUGGCUGAUUUCCGCCUGCCAUCUUUCUUGGAUAGAGAGCCAGAGCAGUCUUGCAGGGAUUCGCCAGCCUUUCUCAGUAGGAACAGGCUCUCCCAAGAAAAGAUUCCUGCAGUCUCCAGUGCUUCUCUCUUGGUCCUCCUCAUCUGGGAAGGUUGGGAGCCCAGAGGAAGUUCUCAAAUCACCUCAUGGAACCCAAACUCUUGCAUCAUUUACAGAGGGAAGGAGAUUUUCUAGGUGCUCAGCCUUGUGGAGAGAUGGGGUCAAACUGGAAGAGGCCAGCAGCACUCUUACCACUGCCUUUGUGUUGUUUUCAUAUAAAUAUUUUUACUGGGACAUUUUUGGCAACGGGUGGCCAGAUCCCAGUGCUGCAGUGAGCAAGAUAGCUUUGCUCACCGCAUGCCAGUGGUAUGCAUUCCAGUCAACUGGGGCCAGUGUGAUUUGAAAUCCUGUCCUUUUUCACUUUUGUCUUGAUGCUUUCCCACUGACUCAGUGUCUACCCUUUAUCCUUUCUUCAAAUGGGAAACAGCUGGGCUGUAGUGAAAUCCACAUCCAAAUUCCUCCUCUCUUCUCCGAGUGAUGACCAGGGUGACAGCUGUUUCUGACACACGAACCCCAUUACAGAUGUUUUGCUAAUUACUGAAAUGCUCAAUUUGGCAGCUUGCCCCUGGAGUGAGGCUCAAAGCCUGACUCACGCAUUGAACAUCUUCUGCUACUCACCUUGCUCGUUCUCCGUAGAGGGCUGUCGGCCACGUGGUGGAGGAAGGUCUGGAAGGUUAUUCCUCUCUGACGAGUGUGUGCAAGAAAACACGGGCAAGGCGGCCUCACCCUCCUGGGCAGCUGACCUUGGUGGCAGUGAACUGUCCUUGUGAAAUUCUCAGCAGGGAAAGGCUUGAUGAAUAUAAUCAAGAACCACUCAGUCAAGGUGUCGUCCCACCGGACCUCUCUGCAGUGAGGAGCCCGCCCCAGUGUGAACGGCUGCAGAGGAGCAACACCUGUGUUCAAGCUCGUGUGUUGCACAUUGGUCCUUGUCAUGAUUCAGCUUUGUCCACAGUGCAUUUGACCCACGGCCUCGCACUCGAGAAUGAAGGGAAACAGUAUUUGGUAAGAAGGUCUUGUGAUAAUAAAAAUGAGUUACACGUACACAGCCUUAUGUGAUUUCUCUCCCAGCAUUUUCUUAUUCAUCAUCUCAGCUCAUUUCUACGACAUUAUAGGGUAAGCAAAAUACAUUUCUAAACGGAUUUUGUUGGUGCUUAGUACUUGUACAGGAUAAGGAGUUUCGUUUUGGUGUCUUGGUGCAUGCAUAUAACAUGCGAGAUUGUUUUCAUUCCUCAUUACCCUCCUCCUGCCUCGGGAUCCCCUUCCGCCUGUCCAAGAGUCUUCUUUCUACUUUGUGUCAUCGCUUUCUUUCUCUCCCUAGAUUCAUUAUAUGAGAGAGAACAUGUGACAUUUGGCUUAUUUUGCUUAACGUGUUGGUCUCUAGUUCUAUUCCUACAAAUGACAUGGUUUUGUUCUCUAAGGCUGAAUAAUACUCCAUUGUGUAUAUGUAUUACAUUUUUCUUUAUCCAUUCUUCUCUUGACAGGCUUCUAGGCUGUUUCCAUAGUUAACUGUUGAGAAGUGAGCCAUGCAGGAAUCUCCACAGCAUGCUCUCCAUGAUUCUUUGGGGAAUAUACUGCAGAGGGGCAGUUUCCAGAUGGCUUGUGAUUGCCUUCAGCAUACUUCUCCGCCUGUUCCUGUGAGAUGCUGCAUCUGGAAUGCCCUGGCUCUCUGGGUAUUUUGUGAAACUUCUACUCAGACUUGUUAAGACUCAACAAAAUUCUCAUUUGUGAAGGUUGCUAUGAGUCAGGAAGAGACCAAAGUUCCCCUUCCCCUGGACGUGGCAGUGAACACAAACUUUCUGGUACUUAUCAAGUUCAGAAAAUUACUUGUUUGCAUGACCAGUUCUUGCACAGUACCAUUGGCUUAUCUUUAUGUCACCUCUAAUUAUCGCCUGAUGCUUGUCACAUAAAUAGAUUUUACAAAUUAGGAAAGACGAGGGUGGGGAGUGCUAAGGGAAUGAAAGACACUAAGGGAAUGAAACUUUUGAGAAGUGUUUUAAUCCAGCUCCUCUGGGUCUGUAUUUUUGUCCGUGGAAUGGAUCCCUUCCGUUGUCUUUAUGACCUGGUGUUGAUGAUUUGUGAUUGUAGGAAAUUCUAGUAUCUUCUCAUUUUCUUAGCCAUCGAGGCCAGAAUCAAAUCCAGGAUCUCCUGACUUCAAGUCCAUGUCUACUUAGUAUGCUUGUUUUUUCCCAAGCAAAGGUUGAGAUGAACUAGAAAGAUGCACAAUGUGAGAAAAAGAAAUCCAGGCCUUCGAGUUGGUAUUCUGAGGUAUGAGCUGUGGCCUGCUGUGAGGCUGUCCUGCUGGCCCCACUUUCCCAGUGUGGAUGGAGAGCGCUGAUCUCGCUUGCAGACCCGCCACUGUCCCUGCUCUACUGCUUCCUCCUUCCGCGCUGGAGGCAGGCUUCGUGCAUCAGCAACUGAACGCAUUCUGCACAUUCUCACUGAGCCUGCAGAUCAGAAUUCUCUUAACACUGCACUGUAAGAUGCCAGUUCUAUCUAGCAGGGAGUUUUAAUGCCAAGAAUAUGCAUGUGGUCAAAAGUAAAAUAAACUAUCUGCCAUUUUUGGCAUAAGGUCUCCUCUCUGAAGUCUCAGUUCUGUUACAUUCUGACGCUGGGCUUCUGGUGUAUUUGAACUUGGGUUUCUGGCCUCUGCAGGUGACAGUGAAGGAAAAUAUGCCCAGGUCCCUGGAAUGCUCAGGCCCUUUCAUGAUGAACCCGUGCGUACCCUCCAUUCCAUGAGUGAUCAGCAGGCUUUUAUAUUCUUUCAGGCCUAACCCAGUGACUCAGUAACUCAGUUGCAGAAGCAACUGAGAUGCAAGGGUAAGUUACAAGGGUAUCUACAUUCGGUGCAUCUGAGCAGAGUGAAAGUCAAUCAUAAUUGGGGACAGACGUGGACACACAGUGCUCAUGAUCUUUUCCUUCUCACUGGCCUACCGCAAGGGAAGUGUUACCUCAUUUUGGCACUCCUGCCACUUGCCAGAGGCUCAUUCAGCAAAGCGUUUGAACACUUGGGGAAUCGUUGAUGCUGUUGGAAAGGAGGCUAUAUCGGAACACUCUCCUGAUCCUAAUUAAAUAAAUUUUUUCCUU